rfam:Schistosoma mattheei strain Denwood, Zambia genome assembly, scaffold: SMTD_scaffold0000099
GCGCUGCUGAGGAGUCCCACGAUUGGACGAAACGGCUGUCCAGCGC